UCUUCUCCAAGAACAAUCAUCCUGCGAAUCUAAUUGAAGUCUGGAUCGCGAUCAACUCUUUAAUUAUUUUCUUGAUCUUUUUCUUCUUCUUCUUUUCCUUGCUCUCCUUUUCUUGAUUAUGAAGCAACCAAGGUCUAUAAACCAGCAAGCAAGGAGGAUGCCCAAACUCCUUUUGGGUAUGGAGAUGGAGGACGCCCGACACCUUGGGUGUUAGAACUAAAAGGGG
rnacentral:lncRNA from 1 species